rnacentral:rRNA from 1 species
AGGUAGUUGGUGGGGUAAUGGCCUACCAAGCCUGCGAUCCGUAACUGGUCUGAGAGGAUGAUCAGUCACACAGGAAUUGAGAUACGGUCCUGACAUCAUUGGAUGGCAGCAGUGGGGAAUAUUGGACAAUGGAGGAAACUCUGAUCCAGCGAUGCCGCGUGAACGAAGAAGGUGUAAACUGUAAAGUUCUUUUACUCGUGACGAUGAUGACGGUAGCGAGAGAAAAAGCACCGGCUAACUCUGUGCCAGCAGCCGCGGUAAUACAGGGGGUGCUAGCGUUGUUCGGAAUGACUGGGCGUAAAGGGUGCGUAGGCGGCACUGUAAGUAGGGUGUGAAAUCCCUGGGCUCAACCCAGGAACUGCGCUCUAUACUGCAGAGCUCGAGUUCGAUAGGGGAAACGGGAAUUUCUAGUGUAGGGGUAAUAUCCAUAGAUAUUAGAAGGAACACCAAUGGCGAAGGCAAGUUUCUGGGUCGAUACUGACGCUGAGGCACGAAAGCGUGGGGAGCAAACAGAAUUAGAUACUCUGGUAGUCCACGCCCUAAACGAUGAGUGCUAGAUGUGGAUGUUUUCAUCUGUGUCGCAGCUAACGCGUUAAGCACUCCGCCUGAGUACUACGGUCGCAAGACUAAAACUUAAAGGAAUUGACGGGGGCCCGCACAAGCGGUGGAGCAUGUGGUUUAAUUCGAUAUUCCGCGAAAAACCUUACCAGCCCUUGACAUGUAAGCAGCGUCUUCCAUAAUGGGAAGACUCGGUUCGGCCGGGCUUACACAGGUGAUGCAUGGCUGUCGUCAGCUCGUGUCGUGAGAUGUUGGGUUAAGUCCCGCAACGAGCGCAACCCUCUUCUUCUGUUGCCAUCAUUAAGUUGGGCACUCUGAAGAUACUGCCAGCGUGAGCUGGAGGAAGGUGAGGAUGACGUCAAGUCUUCAUGUCCUUUAUGGGCUGGGCUACACAUGUGCUACAAUGGCGACAACAACGGGAAGCGAAGGAGUGAUCCCUAGCAAAUCUCUAAAUGUCGUCUCAGUUCGGAUUGCACCUUGCAACUCAGGUGCAUGAAGUUGGAAUCGCUAGUAAUCGCAGAUCAGCACGCUGCGGUGAAUACGUUCACGGGCCUUGUACACACUGCCCGUCAAGCCAUGGGAGUUGGUUCUACCUGAAGACAGUAAGCUAACCCGUAAGGGAGGCAGCUGGACACGGUGGGAUCGAUAACUGGGGUUAAGUCGUAACAAGGUAGCCGUAGGGGAACCUGCGGCUG